UGUGACCCCCCACCCCAUAACUCUGUCUCUCCUUCCCCAUAGAGACCCCCCCGGCUGUGCUGGCCCCUGUCCUGCCCAGCGAGCAGCUGAGUGAGGUGGGGGGAGCCACUGGGGGCAAACCCUGCCUGGCCCGCAGAGUGCCCGCCCGCGUCCCCUUGGCCAGGGGCACCACAGGAGCUGCCCGGGGAGCACAGGGGCCCCCACAAACCGUGGGGGGGGGGGCAGGCUGCACCACCAGGUUCCCUCCUUACCCAGGAGAGCACAUCCCUAUUCCCAGACCUCCCCUCGAAUGAAAGCAGCACCCCAGGUACACCCCCUGUUCCCCCCCUGCCCCCACACUGCCCUGGGGGGGCCGUGCCGAGGCUCAGGACCCCCCCUGCCUGCAGGCGCUGAGCCCCUCAGAGCAUCUGGACCAUCCAACGUCGGCUUGGCUCGCCGUGUGCCCCUCACAAAGGCCAUGCGCCUCGAGGUGUCCAAAGAGCGCUUCUUCCGCACGCCGCGCCUCACCCCCCGCAGCUGCGUGUCGGGCACCCACCAGCGCCCCCUGAAGUGGAGAUUGGCCCUGACCCCCCAGCGUGGCCCCAGCACCGAUGCUGCUGACAGCAAGGAGGAGGCCCCACCCUGGGAGAACAUCGUGGUGCAGCUCUUCAGGGAGGACGAGGGCCAGCAGGACCCCGAGGGGCCAGUGCAGGCUCUGCCCAGCACCUCGCCAGGCUCCAGCACAGCUCAGGACAAGGCUGUGGUGCAGCUCUUCGGGGGGGACAAGGGCCAGCAGGACCCCAAGGUGAUGGCGAAUGCGGCGCUGGCUCUGCCCAAGGCUCAGCGUGUGCCCCUGCUGCUGCAGCUGCUGUGGCAGGACUUGCAGGACCUUCCCGGCGUGAUAGAGGUGCUCAGGAACCUUUGGGGCUGCGUGGCCCAGCACGGCCUGGUCCCCCUGUCCCCCCACCAGGGCCCCUGCAAGCACCCGGGGCAGCUGUGACCACGUCCACCCCCCCGGGGCUGGGGGCUACCCCCAUGGGCACCGCCACACUGCUAAUAAACUAUUUUGUGCUGCACGUUGCUGUGGGGUC
rnacentral:lncRNA from 1 species